UACGUAGGGGGCAAGCGUUGUCCGGAAUCAUUGGGCGUAAAGCGAGCGUAGGCGGCCCGAUAAGUCUGCUGUAAAAGUCAACGGCUCAACCGUUGAAAGCCGGUGGAUACUGUCGGGCUAGAGUUCGGAAGAGGCAAGUGGAAUUCCUGGUGUAGCGGUGGAAUGCGCAGAUAUCAGGAGGAACACCUAUAGCGAAGGCAGCUUGCUGGGACGAUACUGACGCUGAGGUGCGAAAGCGUGGGGAGCGAACAGG
rnacentral:rRNA from 1 species